GAUUUCAUUGUUGAAAGGAAAAUUGUGGAUGAUUUACUUGGCUCAAUUAAAGACAACAGAUACAAAGAUCAAAAACUAAGACUGAAGAAAUGUGGGCUAAGGAAGCUAAUAUAUCUAGUUGAAGGGGAUGUAAACACUGUAGAUGGAUCAGAGAGCGUUAAAACAGCCUGCUUCACUAGUGAGGUUCUUGAAGGAUUUGAU